AGACAAGAAACUUUCCGAGGAAUAUUUCAACAGUCGCAAGCAUCAAUCGACGGUCCCCUUCAUUCAUUUUGUGAACACAUUAAAUCGGUGCUUGAAUCAUUGUCGCCUUCUCUACAGGUAGAAGCCAAAAGGGAUAUUUAUAAUACCGUCAGUAAGUACGAAUUACUAGCAGUCCAAAGUAAGCACUCCGUUUCCACGGGAGAGUCCUCUAUCAGUACAUACAGAUAUGUCAAAUUCUAAUCCUUUUAACUCUCCACCGAUUCAGUCCCCAGAAAGUUUUUUACCGACCCAAACUAGCACCGAUUGUCCGCAAGGAGCUGAAGAUAAAGCUGAUGAUGAAAUAGAUUUUGAAUCAGUACUUUUAAAGUUGUAAAUUACAAUAGCGUUUAGACUUAAAUUGUAAAAACUUACCUUAAUGUGAUAAAAAGUUUUUCUUCUGGA